rnacentral:rRNA from 1 species
UCCUACGGGACGCAGCAGUGGGGAAUAUUGCACAAUGGGCGAAAGCCUGAUGCAGCAACGCCGCGUGAAGGAAGAAGGCCUUCGGGUCGUAAACUUCUGUCCUUGGGGAAGAAGAACUGACGGUACCCAAGGAGGAAGCCCCGGCUAACUACGUGCCAGCAGCCGCGGUAAUACGUAGGGGGCGAGCGUUGUCCGGAAUCACUGGGCGUAAAGGGCGCGUAGGCGGUUUAAUAAGUCAGUGGUGAAAACUGAGGGCUCAACCCUCAGCCUGCCACUGAUACUGUUAGACUUGAGUAUGGAAGAGG